GGAGCGGGGGGGGGAGAGAAAAAAGCAGCAUAAAGUAAUGCUGACAAAGAGGAAGAUUCUAUACUUCAUCAGCAUGUUUACAACUGAAGUUGAUAAAUCCUUCCACAGUGCUGGGGACUAAAUGAUCUGUGAAAACGUAACAGUAUUUUGUAAACUUUAAAAACUGAUACAAGUAUGUGUGCCAAGAAAGCUCAUGUCUAAAUAUACAUUUUGUUGUUAGGGUUUUUUAAUACAUUACUAUUUACCAGUCAUUCUACAUAGCAAUGUUGACAAGAUAAAAAGUAGCCUUUAAUUGUUGUGAAUUUAUACAUACAAAAUACACCUUCCAUGAUAUGCAUUACCAACUCUUUUUAAAAAGACUUUUUACAAUUAAUAAUUUAUAGAAAACCAUUAAUCUUUAGAAAUUAUUCUUGUUAUAAUUUAUUUUUUUCUAAAUACUAGCAUAAAGUGAAUGAUAAAGAUGCUAUUUGGCAAAAGUAUUUCUAGCCCUACCUCCACAGAAAAAGUUUUAAAUUAAGGUCAAGAUUACUGACUCCUUGUUUCUCUGCUCUAGCUGCCUGCAGAAACCCAACAAAGACAGCUAAAAUAUUAAGAUAUCACGUUAGCGCGGACAUCAUAAUGCAGAGCUCAGUGACACCCAGGUUUUGAAGUCUGCUUGAAACAACCUGGCACAAUUCUACCUUGUAGCUCAUAUUUUAUUAAGGUAAAUCCUUCAAGGUUUAAGGGACUUCUCUUUGUAAGAUUUUUCUUACUUUUCUGUGUAUCUAAAUACUUCCCACCUAUAGCCAUUUAAUUGUUAGAUGUGGUCAUAAGUUGUGCCAAAAAGCUCUAGACUUCCUUCAUUCUCACAUGUAAAAAAUUCAAACACAAAAAUAUAAGACUUUCUAAAGCUGUCUUUUGAUGUAGCUCUAGUUCAUAGCAAAUGGAACAUUAAGCUAACCACAUUCUUUUGUUUUGUAACUUUUAUUUAUCUUCAAAAAGUCCAAUAAAUGUUCUCUUGGCCUUUCAUGGGUUAGGAAUAUCCUAGGUACUGGAAUUUAAAAGUCAAAUGUGAGAAUUGCUGAAAUGGUAUGCACAGGCAUGUAAUAAGUCUCCCUAACUGAAGUCUUAAGCAAGUUUUUCACUAUGACCCCUACUAGCGAUUUAGCUGGAGACUUACAAAACUCACAGAAGCUAAAAUUCUCUUUGCCAUCAAAAUUACAAAUGUUAAAAAUGUGCACAGAAAGCUGCAAUAAAUUCUAAGUUUCGGUUUCUAUCUGCAAUGAUCCAGACUGCAUCUCCUAAGAAACAUGGUACAUUUAUAUUGGAAAACAGGGUCCCCUUUAUUUGUAAGAAAAAGCAGGAUCUCAGCAUUCACCAGAACAAAUUUAAUGGCAACCUGCGCACAGGCCUCAUUUCAUUUCCUGCCAAAACCAAAAUAGUUUACAUAAAAAUAGAUAUAACCCAGGUACCCAUAUACAUUGGGCUAUGACCAGUGCUAUUUACAUUAAAAAUGCUGCAUUGCAUAAGUCAAGAAUAAAAUACCAUCAUGCAUUUCAUUUUAACUUGUAAGGUGAAAAAUACAGUUAUAGAACUAAGUUUGCUUACCAUGAUUGUCCCAGUAUUUACUAAAGGAAUUACACCCAAAGGUUUCUUGUUUACACAUCGCCUUCCACACCCAGCUAUGCACCUAAGUGUAGCAGAUUAUACCACUUAAGCAACAAGAGACUUUUGAAUAAUCUCUAUUACACUGACAUAUUAAACUAAAAUUAUGGAUACACACCCACAUUCAAAGUUUUGAUGAAAAUGUAUGAAAGAACCCCAAG
ensembl:lncRNA